UGGAAAAUGCUGCGCACGUUAAGUUAACAAACGAACAAGAAGUCAGUUAUAAGUGAUUCUCUCAAAGAGUAAAAUAAAAAUGUGCAACAAUUUGGUGCCGUCGUCUGUAAGACUUUUUUUCUCUUUGAUUAUGACAUGAUUUGGUGCAAUUGCCCUAUUAUAGGGCUGUAAAGUAAUGUCUUCUUCUUUUUCUUAUUAAUGAAAAAUUUGGGUAAAGGGCCAAAAAAAUUCCAUUUCC